UUUCCGUAGGUGAACCUGCGGAAGGAUCAUUAUUGUAUAACCGAGGUGCGAGGGCUGUCGCUGACCCGAAAGGUCGUGCACGCCCGAGUGCCCUCACACACAUCCACCUCACCCCUAUGUGCACCACCGCGUGGGUCCCCCUUUGGCUUGUUCGGAGGGGGGCUUACGUUUUCACACAAACUUUGUAUGCAGUGUAGAAUGUAUUUUUUGUUUUUGCGAUCACGCAAUCAAUACAACUUUCAACAACGGAUCUCUUGGCUCUCGCACCGAUGAAGAACGCAGC
rnacentral:misc_RNA from 1 species